rnacentral:rRNA from 1 species
CACGGGGGGAGCAAGCGUUGUUCGGAAUCACUGGGCGUAAAGGGCGUGUAGGCGGUCAAGUAAGUGGGAUGUGAAAUCCCUCGGCUCACCCGAGGACCUGCAUCCCAAACUGCUUGGCUUGAGUAUGGGAGAGGAUGGAGGGAAUUCCUGGUGUAGCGGUGAAAUGCGUAGAUAUCAGGAGGAACACCGGUGGCGAAGGCGCUCAUCUGGCCCAAUACUGACGCUGGAUGCGCGAAAGCUAGGGGAGCAAACAGG